UGAUACUUCUUGCUGUUACGUUAUGUAAAAUUGAAUUUUAUUUAUACCGGAGUUUUGUUUGACGAACAUGGCUACAUUACUAAUUAAUGUUAUCAAAAUUUUCUUGCCAGUUAUAAUCUGUGGCAAUGUAUUUAUCUCAGCUUGUGCGCCUCAUCGUCCGGCACCUCAACCAAAAACUCCAAUAGCAAGACUUGGUGAUGCUAUUGAUAAAAGUAACAAACCAGAUAUCAUCACUUUUGUCAUUUUUAAAAAUACUUUGGACAAUCGAUCAGCCUUAGUAGAACAGUACUUCAACAAAUAUAGAAAGGACUUGUCGGAUGAGCUCCAAAAAAAUUUAAGUGGAUCGUUCGGACACCGUAUGUCGUCUUUAGUAAAGUUACCACCAAUCCGAUUUAUUGUCAAUGAAUUGAAAAUUACAUUUUCCUUAAUCGUAGCAAUUAUGAUAGUCUUGCCGAAAUUCUUUUGUAUCAGGAAAUAGGACCUAUUAAAAAAUAUUACCGAUCAGGAGUUUAUAAAUAAACAGUCUACGUUUUAUGCUGAGAAAUUCGAAGAAGCGUUGAUAAUACACGAUACACGUCGUAUUACGCGCAUAAUUGUAUCAAGUCUGAACGAUAAAAUAUUUUCGAAUGUUUCAUUAGGUAUUUCGAUUAUAUAUCCUCAAAAAUCAAUAGAGGAACUGGCACGACAAUGUGAUGGUGGAAUACAUUACAAGAACGCAAUAAAAGGAAUAUUUACAUGGCCUGGAGCUCAAGAUGAUGCUGCUGAAUUAUCCUUGCAUGGUGAUAAAAUAAUCUAGAGGUAUUUAAUAAGACUUGUUUGUAUUUAGUAAAUGAUUUAGUAACGAACCUUGUAAUACUAAAUAUUUGGUUACAGGUACCAAAUUAUUUAGUAGAGCUCAUUUAUUUUCACCAAAUAAAUAUUUAGUAGUAUUUAAGAAAUUAUUUAUUAGUAAUUUUAAAAAAAAGUUAUUCAAUUUGCAUGCUUUUUUAAUGGAAAUACUUUGAUGCUCAAUAGGAAGUACACGGAGAGAAAAAAAUAGUUAUAAUUCCUAUGUAGAAUGGUAACCAUUACUAUGUUACAUAGAAACGAGGAUUUUUUAACGUCGAGAGUCACCGGGCAGAGUAAUCCCCCCCAUUCUACAUAGUAACGGUGGCUAUGCUAGCAUAGAAGUGAUUACUAUUCUACAUUGACGAGAGAACUAUGUAAAUGGAUAUGGCUACAAUGUUACCUAGUAACCUUUACGAUGUUUUAUUUAUUUCAUUUUUAGUAAAUAAGGUUAUGACAAAACAAAUAACUCAGGUUACUAUAAAUAGAUAUAUGUAGAAAUUGAAUUAAUCUAUUGAAAUAAUUAAGAUAUUGCUCAAAAUGAAAUAUCAUUUUUUGAUAACAGAUAAAUAAUAAUUAAAUAAAUUAAAAUAUUUAAUAAUAUACUUCGCACAUAUACAUGUAACACAUACACAUAGGUUACUGCGCAAACGUCCGCGCAUGUUUACUUUCUUGUCUCACUUAUUAAACUGUAACGACAGCUAUUCCAGCAUGGGACUGAGUACCAUUCUACAUAGCCCUGAUUCCCAUGCUAGAUAGCGAUUUUUACCAUUUUAGUUGUUUCAAUGUAACAUAGUAAUCAUUACCAGAAAAAUGGUAAUGAGUCCUAUUCUACAUAGCAUUAUUUACCAUUUUACAAAAAAUGAGUCUGGUUACUAUGUAACAUAGUAAUCAUUACUAUUUUUUUCUCUCCGUGUACUUAAAGUUAAAAUUAAGAACUGAAAUUAAUUCAGUCUGCAUAAAGUUGUUGUACAGAAUUAGGUAAUUUAUUAAAAUGUUCCUCCAUCUCAACUCCAUACUCUAUAAUAAAAAAAAGAAGAACAAAAAUUAUCAGAGUAGAGCACAAAAAAUCUAAUGUCAAGAAAGGUGGGGCAAAAUGAGGCGUCUUACUUUUGUGACAAAAUUUUAAAUUGGCCGCUUCUGGGCUGAUUAACUUCUCGUAAAAUAGAAACGCACCAUCAUAAUUAUGCACUUUUCACUAAAAACUACUUUUUUUUUUUGAGUAGAUGUCGCCUCAUUUUACCUUAAAUUACUGUAUUGUUCUAGCCCACCUUCAUCAACAUCGAAUUGGUGCUAGAUAGUAAUAUGAAAAAAUAAAAAUAUUUACCUGAUCGGUAAUAUUUUUUAAUAGGUCCUAUUUCCUGAUACAAAAGAAUUUCGGCAAGACUAUCAUAAUUGCUACGAUUAAGGAAAAUGUAAUUUUCAAUUCAUUGACAAUAAAUCGGAUUGGUGGUAACUUUACUAAAGACGACAUACGGUGUCCGAACGAUCCACUUAAAUUUUUUUGGAGCUCAUCCGACAAGUCCUUUCUAUAUUUGUUGAAGUACUGUUCUACUAAGGCUGAUCGAUUGCCCAAAGUAUUUUUAUAAAUGACAAAAGUGAUGAUAUCUGGUUUGUUACUUUUAUCAAUAGCAUCACCAAGUCUUGCUAUUGGAGUUUUUGGUUGAGGUGCCGGACGAUGAGGCGCACAAGCUGAGAUAAAUACAUUGCCACAGAUUAUAACUGGCAAGAAAAUUUUGAUAACCUGUAAAUAUUAAUCAAUUACAUAUAUUAUUAGAUAACAUUAAGAAACAUAACAUUUAGAAAUUAAUUCAGUCUGCAUAAAGUUGUUGUACAGAAUUAGGUAAUUUAUUAAAAUGUUCUUCCAUCUCAACUCCAUACUCUAUAAUAAAAAAAAGAAGAAAAAAAAUUAUCAGAGUAGAGCACAAAAAAUCUAAUGUCAAGAAAGGUGGGGCAAAAUGAGGCGUCUUACUUUUGUGACAAAAUUUUAAAUUGACCGCUUCUGUUAAAGUUGGACGGACACAUCCACUUAAGAAAAAUUAAGCGUAUGAUUUAAUGUCGAUUUCAUAAAAUAAUUAGCAUUUUAAAAAAAAUUCCAUGUGCUACUAUUACCGUAGAUGUUACAGAAAAAUAGUCGUAAGCUAUUCAAUUUCACGAUAAAUAAUUGUGCAGAAUUUAAUUUUAUAUUGUAAUAAAUAAUUAUGAGACUUUUAAUAUAAAUUAAACUUUCAAUCGAACAA